CGAGUAGGCGGAUUGACAAGUCAGUAGUGAAAUACCAUGGCUUAACUGUGGAAAUGCUAUUGAAACUGUUGAUCUUGAGUGAUGGAGAGGCAGGCGGAAUUCCCAGUGUAGCGGUGAGAUGCGUAGAUAUUGGGAGGAACACCAGUGGCGAAGGCGGCCUGCUGGACAUUAACUGACGCUGAGGAGCGAGAGCGUGGGGAGCAAACA
rnacentral:rRNA from 1 species